rnacentral:rRNA from 1 species
ACGUUAGCGGCGGACGGGUGAGUAACACGUGGGUAACCUACCUAUAAGACUGGGAUAACUUCGGGAAACCGGAGCUAAUACCGGAUAAUAUUUCGAACCGCAUGGUUCGAUAGUGAAAGAUGGUUUUGCUAUCACUUAUAGAUGGACCCGCGCCGUAUUAGCUAGUUGGUAAGGUAACGGCUUACAAGGCGACGAUACGUAGCCGACCUGAGAGGGUGAUCGGCCACACUGGAACUGAGACACGGUCCAGACUCCUACGGGAGGCAGCAGAU